rnacentral:hammerhead_ribozyme from 1 species
GUACUGCUGAGGAGUUCAACAAAAGGACGAAAGGGCCGUCCAGUGC